rnacentral:rRNA from 1 species
UGUGCCAGCAGCCGCGGUAAUACAGAGGGUGCAAGCGUUAAUCGGAUUUACUGGGCGUAAAGCGUGCGUAGGCGGCUAAUUAAGUCGGAUGUGAAAUCCCCGAGCUCAACUUGGGAAUUGCAUUCGAUACUGGUUAGCUAGAGUAUGGGAGAGGAUGGUAGAAUUCCAGGUGUAGCGGUGAAAUGCGUAGAGAUCUGGAGGAAUACCGAUGGCGAAGGCAGCCAUCUGGCCUAAUACUGACGCUGAGGUACGAAAGCAUGGGGAGCAAACAGGAUUAGAUACCCUGGUAGUCCAUGCCGUAAACGAUGUCUACUAGCCGUUGGGGCCUUUGAGGCUUUAGUGGCGCAGCUAACGCGAUAAGUAGACCGCCUGGGGAGUACGGUCGCAAGACUAAAACUCAAAUGAAUUGACGGGGGCCCGCACAAGCGGUGGAGCAUGUGGUUUAAUUCGAUGCAACGCGAAGAACCUUACCUGGUCUUGACAUAGUAAGAACUUUCCAGAGAUGGAUUGGUGCCUUCGGGAACUUACAUACAGGUGCUGCAUGGCUGUCGUCAGCUCGUGUCGUGAGAUGUUGGGUUAAGUCCCGCAACGAGCGCAACCCUUUUCCUUAUUUGCCAGCGGGUUAAGCCGGGAACUUUAAGGAUACUGCCAGUGACAAACUGGAGGAAGGCGGGGACGACGUCAAGUCAUCAUGGCCCUUACGACCAGGGCUACACACGUGCUACAAUGGUCGGUACAAAGGGUUGCUACAUAGCGAUAUGAUGCUAAUCUCAAAAAGCCGAUCGUAGUCCGGAUUGGAGUCUGCAACUCGACUCCAUGAAGUCGGAAUCGCUAGUAAUCGUGGAUCAGAAUGCCACGGUGAAUACGUUCCCGGGCCUUGUACACACCGCCCGUCACACCAUGGGAGUGGGUUGCAAAAGAAGUAGGUAGCUUAACCUUCGGGAGGGCGCUUACCACUUUGUGAUUCAUGACUGGGGUGAAGUCGUAACAAGGUAACCGA